GACGAACGCUGGCGGCGUGCUUAACACAUGCAAGUCGAACGGUAAGGCCCUUCGGGGUACACGAGUGGCGAACGGGUGAGUAACACGUGGGUGAUCUGCCCUGCACUUCGGGAUAAGCCUGGGAAACUGGGUCUAAUACCGGAUAGGACCACUGCCUGCAUGGGUGGUGGCGGAAAGCUUUUGCGGUGUGGGAUGGGCCCGCGGCCUAUCAGCUUGUUGGUGGGGUGAUGGCCUACCAAGGCGACGACGGGUAGCCGGCCUGAGAGGGUGACCGGCCACACUGGGACAGAGAUACGGCCCAGACUCCUACGGGAGGCAGCAGUGGGGAAUAUUGCACAAUGGGCGCAAGCCUGAUGCAGCGACGCCGCGUGAGGGAUGACGGCCUUCGGGUUGUAAACCUCUUUCAGCACCGACGAAGCGCAAGUGACGGUAGGUGCAGAAGAAGGACCGGCCAACUACGUGCCAGCCGCCGCGGUAAGAC
rnacentral:rRNA from 1 species